AGUGAACGCUGGCGGCGUGGAUAAGGCAUGCAAGUCGAGCGAUCCCCGCAAGGGAUAGCGGCAAACGGGUGAGUAACGCGUAGGUAACCUACCCUAAAGCGUGGGAUAACCCAACGAAGAUGGGCUAAUACCACAUGUGUUCACGAGGGGGCAUCUCCUUGUGAAGAAAGAUGGCCUCGACCGCAAGGUUGCUAUCGCUUAAGGAGGGACCUGCGUCCCAUCAGCUAGUUGGAGGGUUACGGCCUACCAAGGCUCUUGACGGGUAGCUAGCCUUAGAGGGUGGUUAGCCACACUGGGACUGAGACACUGCCCAGACUCCGUACGGGAGGCUGCAGUCGAGAAUAUUUGGCAAUGGACGAAGUCUGACCAUGCGACGCCGCGUGC
rnacentral:rRNA from 1 species